UUAGCUCACAAUUAUACAGCAAAGUCUCCUGGGAGGGUUUAUAUGUUAAGCUCUGUCAGUAAUUUCUCCCCUAGCAAGAAUGAGGAAGAUGAAGAGCUCGGGUAUCUGAGGGCUGGUGUGUCUGCAUGCGUGUGUGUUUUGGGGGCCGACUGAAGGAAGAGAAGGCUGGAGAGAGGGAACAUGGGUCUGAGGGCACAUCGCUAAGGGGUCAAGAGGCCUAAAGGAGGAGUCUAAGGCUCUCCAUCGAACUUGGACUUGGUCUACAUUAGACUUUAACCUCCAUGAGGCUUGGACUUUCAGGCUUCCUCCCUCACACCGCGGGCAGGUGAGGCGUCUGCUACAGGCCUGGUCUCGCAGAGGGGGCCCAGCGCCCCCCGCCGCCGCCUUCUCCUGGAGUCUGUGUGACAGAAUGGGACCUGUGGGAAAGCAGCACGUCAGCACCCAGCCCCGCUUGCGCGCCAGCAGCUAAUUAAAGCCAGGAAGGUGAUGGCGAUUUUCAACUCAUUCCCGUUACAAACAGCCGACCUUCCUACCGAGUUCAAGUACCUUCUGCCUGGCCUGGAAGAACAAUAUCUCUCUGUCUCCCUCUUCCACUGGCCCUCACCUGCCUUCCCCUGAACAUGCAUUUUGCCUGACAGGAGACAGAGGCAGUUGAUGCUUGCAGCUUGGUCCAGGAGGCCAGCAGGACCAGAGAGAAGACCACAGCGACACAUGGGGAUGGCUGUCCCACAGGCAGAAAUGAGCAGCCGGGAGGAAGCCCAGGCAGCCAGCCACCCAGCUCCCUCCACAUCGUGGCCCUAGAACGGAGUCUUGAAGAAUAAGAAGCCACAGCUUGUCAGGGAAUCAGGCUGGAAAAAUGUUAUGAGACUGAGUAAGACCAGAGUUUCUGGGUCAUUGGUGAGACUGGAUUUCAUAGAAGAGUCUUUGCUACAGCAAAACCUCUCUUCAAGCAAUACACUAUUCAAGCUGCUGGAGGCUAGAUUGACCAGAAAAAUGGGGCCAAUAUCAUGAUUCCUCAGCAGUGCCUGGAGAAGACCAGGAGAGGAAGCAGAAGACCCUCCUCAAAGAAGCAGCCUUCACCUCCAGACCUCCCAGCGGGACUUAGACAAUGGGGUUAGGCAGUCACAUGUCUGCACGUGGAAACUUUCUGGGACUGUGCUUGGAUCCUGGCUCUGCCUUUUACUAGCCAUGUGACCUUGGGAAAAUCACUUGACUUCUCCGUGCAGGAUUCCUCAUCUGUAAAAAUGGUCUAAGAUUAGGAGCCACCUCAAGGUUGUUGUAGGAAUUAAAUUAAUUCAUGUUUAUAAAGUGCUUUGAACAGCGUUUGGCACAUGAGUUGUGAUACCCAUGAGUUAGUCAGCUUGGGCUAUCAUAACAAAAUACCACACAUUGGUUGGCUUAAACAACAGAAAUUCAUUUUCCUGUAAUUCUGGAGGCUGGAAGUCCAAGAUCAAGGUGACGACAGAGUUGGGUUUCCUCUGAAGCCUCUCUCCUUGGUUUUCAGAUGGGUGUCCUCUUGCUGUCUCUUCAUGUGACUGUCCCUCUGCAUGUGUGCCCCUGGGGACUCUUUCUUAUCUUAUAGUGACACUAGUUCUAUUGGAUUGAAGUGUACCCAUACGACCUCAUUUAAACUUAAUUACAUAUUGUAAGGCCCUAACUUCAAAUACAGUCACAUCCUGAGGUACUGUGUAUUAGGGCUUCAACAUAUAAAUUUUGGGGCAAUCCAGUUCAGCCCAUAAAAUCCCUUUUUGGUUGCUUGAUUCUGUUUAUUUGGUGUCAUGCCUUCCUUUUCCUAAAGAACUUCAUGAAUAGAAUUACUUUCUAAGUGAAAGGAACAAAACUGAUUUUUAUUAAAAAUUAUUUUGAGAUGCUUGUGACAAAUUUUGAAGUAAGUGAAGAUUUUCCUGGAGCUUCUACAAAAUCCUGGCUGAGAAUCCCUGCUUUCUGGACAGUUGAGAAGGAAAUACACUUAGUACAGCUGUUAGAGAGAUAUAGUUGCAACCACUGAGUGCUUAUUAUCUGCCAACUUAAAUAUAUUGCCCAAGGGAAUAACAAAUAUUCUAGUGUUCUUGUUAAGUAUAUUGUCUAAGGUCACACAGCUCUUAAACAACAGCUUCAGGAUUUGAACCUGGAAUCUAUCUGACUCCUAAGUCCAGAUGCUGUUCACCACAUUAGGUUGAAGCAUGGCCAGUGUUCAUAACAUACAACUAUGUCUCCAUAUCUUUUGCUAACCAAUGUUCUUGUAUGUGCAUACCUUACAGGGCAGCCAUUCACCACAAGCCCUACUAGAUGGCUUCCUGUAAUAAGGGUAGAACAGUAGUACUCUCCUUUUGAGAAGUUAUUUGUAAUUUUGUUGGUGGGCUGACAUUUAGGCCCUGCUCUCCAGCCCCAGAGGGGAUCCCAUAACCUAGAUCAGGCCAAUGAUGAUUAUCUCCGUGACUGUAGUGGCUGGUCCAGCGGGGAGGGUCAGGCAGGUAAGCUGGCCCAACCUGAGUCCUUCUUGAGGAUUUUAGAAACUGAAGGUAGGAGAGAAAAAUUCUCUCUUUUCUUCUGGGGAACGGGAUGAAGGUGGUGGGUAGGCAGAGCUGUUGGGAUGUGGAUCCAGGGAUUCUGGAAGUCCUGUCCUCCACCAUGUAAAGAAUACAUCCUGCAGAAGGAGAGAAGGGAGCCAGCACACAGAGAAGCAGAGUCAGGAGAUGGAGAAGGAGAAUCCUGAGAGCCUGAAGGUCCCUGGGUCCAGCCAUUGUCAAGGCCGAGUUCUACCGUCCUUAAGUUGUUUACCUUUCUUUCUUGCUUGCUUCUGUUAGAAGAUGAACACUCAAUGAAAAAUCACCAAACAUCUGAGGAAAGCCAUCAAAAUGAAAUAAACGAAACACACAAGUUCCUAAACACAAGUGAACAGCGUGGGCUGGGUUUUUGUCGCUUGGAACUGGAAACGCUGACGAUAAUGCUGACCUCUGAGCAGACCCACGUGAGGGGCAGCUGUGGUGUGGUGUGAUGAUGCUGGGAUAGGCACUCAGAUGGUUGAGUCUGAGUUUGGCUCUGAUAUUAUAUCAACUGCAUGGGCAGCUGUGGUGUGGUGUGAUGAUGCUGGGAUAGGCACUCAGAUGGUUGAGUCUGAGUUUGGCUCUGAUAUUAUAUCAACUGCAUGGGCAGCUGUGGUGUGGUGUGAUGAUGCUGGGAUAGGCACUCAGAUGGUUGAGUCUGAGUUUGGCUCUGAUAUUAUAUCAACUGCAUGGGCAGCUGUGGUGUGGUGUGAUGAUGCUGGGAUAGGCACUCAGAUGGUUGAGUCUGAGUUUGGCUCUGAUAUUAUAUCAACCGCAUCAUUUUGGGGAAGACACAAUUUCUCAGAAUUUUAUUUAGUUGUAAAAUAAAGAUAAUGAUAUUACAUGCUCUGUCUACCAUCUAGAGUUUUUGUCAAGACAAAC
rnacentral:lncRNA from 1 species